AGACUGCCUGAUAAUAGCCUACCGUUUAUUAUCCAGCUUUGAUCACCAGCACAAUGACUGCAGCAAUCGCUGAAGGAUGGAGCACAGAGGCGUCUGCCACUGAGGAGGUGGAGAACAUGUGCAUUAAGAUGAAGGCAGACACAGAGAAGAAGGCUGGAGUCCAUUUUGAUGUUUUCAUUCCUAAAACCUUUAGGUCUGAGCCAAAGUGUGGUGGACACUAUCUGGUCAAGGUGAAGGUCGGAGUAGAUGAGUACGUUCAUAUUAAGGUGUGUGG